AUACCUACGGGACGCAGCAGUGGGGAAUAUUGGGCAAUGGGCGCAAGCCUGACCCAGCAACGCCGCGUGAAGGAAGAAGGCUUUCGGGUUGUAAACUUCUUUUAUGAGGGACGAAGGAAAUGACGGUACCCCAUGAAUAAGCCACGGCUAACUACGUGCCAGCAGCCGCGGUAAUACGUAGGGGGCAAGCGUUAUCCGGAUUUACUGGGUGUAAAGGGAGCGUAGACGGAAAGGCAAGUCAGAAGUGAAAACCCAAGGCUCAACCAUGGGACUGCUUUUGAA
rnacentral:rRNA from 1 species